rnacentral:lncRNA from 1 species
CUUAGAUAGAGAUAAGGGUUUGGAACCUUGGAGAAGAAGAUAGAGGAGACAUUUGACUCCUUCCGCAGUGGCAACCACCCAUUCACGGCAGAAACUGUUAGAGUAAGCCGACAAUGAUGAACAACAUUGUUCUUGACUUCCACCCUUCUUGUUCGAUCUCCACUUUCUCUCAUUCUCGAGGCAAAACCAGUGACAGAGAUGAAGAACACGCUAGAUCUAGACAGCAAGGUAGCGACAAUGAUAGGUGUGGCAGCGAGGUUCCCUCUUUGUUGGACCGAUUCGGCCAAGGGACAUGGCCGAAGAGAGUAAUAUUUUUUUGGUUUAUGAAAUUUGAAUGUUAUAAUUGUAUGGAGAUUGCAGUUCUCAUUGGAUGCAAAUUUAAUUUCAUUUUGUGGAUUACUGUAUAUGGAACACCAUGUUGAGAGGAAAACAAUUGCUUAUGAGUUUGUAUAACAAUUGCAUAUGUGUGUUCUUGGUUUGUGUUUUAACAGUGUCCCCCUUUCAGUGUAUGUUUUUUUUUAUGUUGGGAUGGGUGAUCCCCUUUUACAGGGGAUGAGCACAUAGUCCCCCUCCCUUGCUUUUUAUUUAAUUCCCUUAAUGAUUAGCAAAAGAUCCUCCUGACUUUCCUCACUGCUGAUUGAUUCCCUGAAUGCAAUUGAUAUUCUGUUUAUCAUUCCUGAUUUUUUGGCCUGGAUUAUUGCCUCCAUAUUUAUGUUUCGGGUCUGCCUUAAUUGCUCUAUCACAUAUGAUUUUUUAGGGUUGAUUGUGUAAUACUUACAACUGAAUCAUUCUCUUAAUACCUCUAUUUAAUAACUUAAGAUUUUAUGAGCGAAAAUGGGUAUUUGUUUUUAAUGUUUGUUUGCCUUUUUAGCUCUUGAAGAUCUGUUAAUCUAUAUGCAUCUUCCUUAGCAAGAGGUGAUUGAUUAGAUCUGUUUUAUCUCUUUUUGGACAGCCUGCUAAUCAUCCCGACCAACCUAACAAGGACGAGAUUGUGUGCGUUAUUGGAUGCUUGCUGAGGCAUUUGUUGUAAA